CCUACGGGAGGCUGCAGUGGGGAAUAUUGCACAAUGGGCGCAAGCCUGAUGCAGCCAUGCCGCGUGUGUGAAGAAGGCCUUCGGGUUGUAAAGCACUUUCAGCGGGGAGGAAGGCGGUGAGGUUAAUAACCUCAUCGAUUGACGUUACCCGCAGAAGAAGCACCGGCUAACUCCGUGCCAGCAGCCGCGGUAAUACAGAGGGUGCAAGCGUUAAUCGGAAUUACUGGGCGUAAAGCGCACGCAGGCGGUCUGUCAAGUCGGAUGUGAAAUCCCCGGGCUCAACCUGGGAACUGCAUUCGAAAAUGGCAGGCUAGAGGCUUGUAGAGGGGGGUAGAAUUCCAGGUGUAGCGGUGAAAUGCGUAGAGAUCUGGAGGAAUACCGGUGGCGAAGGCGGCCCCCUGGACAAAGACUGACGCUCAGGUGCGAAAGCGUGGGGAGCAAACAGGAUUAGAUACCCCAGUAGUC
rnacentral:rRNA from 1 species